CCCCGGGUGUGCCCAGGUGUGUCCAAAUGGAUCCCAGGUGUGCCCAGGUGUGCCCAGGUGUGCCAUAGAUGGCUCCUGAUACCCCCAGGUCUACCCCAGGGGUCCUCAGGUGUGCCCCAGGUGUGCCCAGGUGUGUGCCCGGGUGUGCCCAGGUGUGCCAGAGUGAGCUCAGGUGCCCUGGGUGUGCCCAGGUGUGUCCAAAUGGAUCCCAGGUGUGCCCAGGUGUGGCUCAGUGGUGCCCAGGUGCCCCCAGGUGUGCCAGGUGUGCCAGAGUGAGCUCAAGUGCCCCAGGUGUGCCCAGGUGUGUCCAAAUGGAUCCCAGGUGUGCCCCAGGUGUGGCCCAGGUGUGCCAGGGUGUGCCCCAGGUGUACCCAGGUGUGUCCAAAUGGAUCCCAGGUGUGCCCAGGUGUGCCGUAGAUGCCCGCAGGUGCCCCAGGUGAGCCCAGGUG